rnacentral:rRNA from 1 species
UCCCGCAAGGGAUGAGUAGAGUGGCAAACGGGUGAGUAACACGUGGGUGACCUGCCUUCGAGCGGGGGAUAACGUCCCGAAAGGGACGCUAAUACCGCAUGACAUCCUGCCUUUGAAGAGGUGGAGAUCAAAGCUGGGGAUCGCAAGACCUAGCACUUGAAGAGGGGCCCGCGUCUGAUUAGCUAGUUGGUGGGGUAAUGGCUCACCAAGGCAACGAUCAGUAUCCGGCCUGAGAGGGCGGACGGACACACUGGGACUGAGACACGGCCCAGACUCCUACGGGAGGCAGCAGUGGGGAAUUGUUCGCAAUGGGCGCAAGCCUGACGACGCAACGCCGCGUGGAGGAUGAAGACCUUCGGGUCGUAAACUCCUUUCGAUCGAGACGAAUGGCUUCCGGGUGAACAAUCCGGGAGAAUGACGGUACCGAGAGAAGAAGCCCCGGCUAACUCCGUGCCAGCAGCCGCGGUAAUACGGGGGGGGCAAGCGUUGUUCGGAAUUACUGGGCGUAAAGGGCUCGUAGGCGGCCAACUAAGUCAGACGUGAAAUCCCACGGCUUAACCGGGGAACUGCAUCUGAUACUGGAUGGCUUGAGAUUGGGAGAGGGAUGCGGAAUUCCAGGUGUAGCGGUGAAAUGCGUAGAUAUCUGGAGGAACACCGGUGGCGAAGGCGGCAUCCUGGACCAACACUGACGCUGAGGAGCGAAAGCCAGGGGAGCAAACGGGAUUAGAUACCCCGGUAGUCCUGGCCCUAAACGAUGAAUGCUUGGUUGUGGCGGGUAUCGAUCCCUGCCGUGCCGAAGCUAACGCAUUAAGCAUUCCGCCUGGGGAGUACGGUCGCAAGGCUGAAACUC